GUAUAGAACCUUCACCUCCUUCCAGUGGUCCAUAAAAUUCUUGUUUAGACCAACAAGAAGAGACAGUUGGUUCAGAUCUAAGUGAAUAGAGAAACAUUUUUAACAUUCAAUCAUCGUUAAGUUUCUUCUUUUAGAUUUUGUCUUACACUAUGAUGAGAAACAUUCAAAUACCAGUUUUACAACAUGUAGAUUUAGUGAAUACCUCUUUAAACAUAUAUCAUACUAUUUCCGAUAUGCCAACACUACUACUAAUAAGCGCAUAUCUGCACAGUGUGACUAACAUGGUCCCACAACAUCGGACGUUAGUCUCUAAUGUUUAAUUAGAAUAAAAGCUUUAACUAAAUGCCCACUUAUUUAUUUCAUGGCCAACAUGGCCCCAAGUGCAUUGUAACUCAGUCUCAGAGAACAAGGAUUUGGACUAGAACCAGUACGUCAGACCCGCUUUGUAGUCACCCGGUGCGGCCAAUCUCCUUUAAGCAGCGAGUCUUGUGGACAGCAUAACGACCCGCACCCAAUGCAGUUUUGAAAUUGAAAAUAUCAGUCUUCACUGAGAUUCGAACCCAGGACGCCAAUCCUUUAACCGAUCAACAGCCUUGCCCUUUGACAUAGACACGAACUGGUCAAAGAUGUCCAGCAAGAAAAAAACUCAAACUGAUAGAAAAGUAUCGACUGACCUAGCAGACUUAUCCAGUCUUCGGG
rnacentral:sRNA from 1 species